GAUCUUUUGCGUUCGAAUCUAAGGUGGUUUGCUGUUGUUGUUUUUAACAGGGAUUCUAAACCAAAGGUAAUUUUGUUUAUCGAGAUGAAUGCGUUAAAAACAACUCUUGUUUUUUUACAUCUUG